UUGUGAAAUAUAGUAACGAAGCCCGUGAGCCAUGCGUCAAGAAAAGCCGCUAUUGUUUAUAUUGUACCCGUACCGUAAACCGACACAGGUGGAUUAGGAGAGAAUCCUAAGGCCGGCGGAAGAAGUAUUGCCAAGGAACUCGGCAAAAUGGCCCCGUAACUUAGGGAGAAGGGGUGCCUGCGAGAGCAGGCCGCAGAGAAUAGGCUCAAGCAACUGUUUAGCAAAAACACAGGUCUAUGCGAAACCGAAAGGUGAGGUAUAUGGGCUGACGCCUGCCCGGUGCUGGAAGGUUAAGAGGAGAGGUUAGACGCAAGUCGAAGCUUUGAAUUUAAGCCCCAGUAAACGGCGGCCGUAACAAUAACGGUCCUAAGGUAGCGAAAUUCCUUGUCGGGUAAGUUCCGACCCGCACGAAAGGCGUAAUGAUUUGAGCGCUGUCUCGGCAAUACAUCCGGUGAAAUUGAAGUGCCAGUGAAGAUGCUGGCUACCCGCGCCAGGACGGAAAGACCCCAUGGAGCUUUACUCCAGUUUGGCACUGGGGUCCGGUGUUGCAUGUACAGGAUAGGUGGGAGGCUGAGAGAUAGUGACGUCAGUUGCUAUGGAGCCGCUGUUGGGGUACCACCCUUGUGAUAUUGGGCUUCUAACCAGCCGCCGUGAACCGGCGGUGGGACAAUGCCAGGCGGGGAGUUUGACUGGGGCGGUCGCCUCCGAAAGGGUAUCGGAGGCGCCCAAAGGUUCCCUCAGAAUGGACGGAAACCAUUCGAAGAGUGCAAAGGCAGAAGGGAGCUUGACUGCGACACCGACGGGUGGAGCAGGUACGAAAGUAGGGCUUAGUGAUCCGGUGGUAUUAAGUGGGAAUGCCAUCGCUCAACGGAUAAAAGCUACCCUGGGAUAACAGGCUUAUCACUCCCAAGAGUUCACAUCGACGGAGUGGUUUGGCACCUCGAUGUCGGCUCAUCGCAUCCUGGGGCUGUAGUAGGUCCCAAGGGUUGGGCUGUUCGCCCAUUAAAGCGGUACGCGAGCUGGGUUCAGAACGUCGUGAGACAGUUCGGUCCCUAUCCGGCGUGGGCGUAGGAUAUCUGAGAGGAGCUGUCCUUAGUACGAGAGGACCGGGAUGGACGGACCGCUGGUGGACCGGUUGGCUUGCCAAAGCCAUGGCCGGGUAGCCAAGUCCGGAAGGGAUAAACGCUGAAGGCAUCUAAGCGUGAAGCCCCCCUCAAGAUGAGAUAUCCCAUUCUUUAAGAAGUAAACCCCCUUGAAGACGACGAGGUAGAUAGGGCAGAGGUGGAAGUGUGGUAACACAUGGAGCUGACUGUUACUAAUCGGGUGAGGGCUUGACAGG
rnacentral:rRNA from 1 species